AGCUUUGCUCAGUGGCAGUAUCGUAGCCAAUGAGGUUUAUCUGAGGCACGAUUAUUGCUAAUUGGA
rnacentral:snRNA from 1 species